GGUCCCGUAGCUCAGUUGGAUAGAGCAACAGCCUUCUAAGCUGUGGGUCAGAGGUUCGAAUCCUCUCGGGAUCGCCA
rnacentral:tRNA from 1 species